rnacentral:rRNA from 1 species
AGUGAACGCUGGCGGUAGGCCUAACACAUGCAAGUCGAACGGCAGCACAGUAAGAGCUUGCUCUUACGGGUGGCGAGUGGCGGACGGGUGCGGAAUACAUCGGAAUCUCCUUUUUAGUGGGGGAUAACGAAGGGAAACUUACGCUAGUACCGCAUACGACCUACGGGUGAAAGCAGGGGAUCUUCGGACCUUGCGCGAUUGAAUGAGACGAUGUCGGGUUAGCUAGUUGGCGGGGUAAAGGCCCACCAAGGCGACGAUCCGUAGCUGGUCUGAGAGGAUGAUCAGCCACACUGGAACUGAGACACGGUCCAGACUCCUACGGGAGGCAGCAGUGGGGAAUAUUGGACAAUGGGCGCAAGCCUGAUCCAGCCAUACCGCGUGGGUGAAGAAGGCCUUCGGGUUUUAAAGCCCUUGUGUUGGGAAAGAAAAGCAGCAGGUUAAUACCCCGCUGUUCUGACGGUACCCAAAGAAUAAGCACCGGCUAACUUCGUG